UACGUAGGGUGCAGGCGUUGUCCGGAAUUAUUGGGCGUAAAGAGCUCGUAGGCGGUCUGUCGCGUCGAAUGUGAAAACCCGGGGCUCAACCCCGGGCCUGCAUUCGAUACGGGCAGACUAGAGUUCGGUAGGGGAGUCUGGAAUUCCUGGUGUAGCGGUGAAAUGCGCAGAUAUCAGGAGGAACACCGGUGGCGAAGGCGGGUCUCUGGGCCGUAACUGACGCUGAGGAGCGAAAGCGUGGGGAGCGAACAGG
rnacentral:rRNA from 1 species